AGAACAACUAUUGCGUGGGGCACGUUCUGGACUCGGGCGAGAUUCCGGAUGCGCUCAAAGCAGCUCGUUCCCGUUCGGCAUCUUUGACCACUUUGACACAUUCUACUCCACGAUCGACCAUGCGGGCCAACCGGCCAGCUGUCGGGUACGACCCUGUUGCGCGCGAAGAAGGUUUCAGAUGAGCUGGUUCAGUCGGAACUACCGCAGGCGGACCGGGUGGUGGUGAGGUGGAGGACUGGGCCAACAAGCGGAACCGGUAUAUCAUGUAGCUGUACGAUCUGUUUCAACUGCCGCCUCGGCUUACUUGUUUGAGAUCAAGGGAACCGAAAGUGGAAUGCAGCAGAAUGAGCAGUUCCAGUGCAGUGGGAACGAACCGUACGACGCGCUGACGCGGAAGGACUUGGUGCAGCAUUUACGCGGGUCACGUCAGGCUGGACUUGCCCAAAGAGAGAGAUAAUUAUAUUUCUGUUUUCGCCCGUCACGCGCAGCGACAAACAAAAGAAGUCUGCGCUGAAAGUUGACAAGUCAAAACUCCUCUUGUUUUGGUGCGUUUCGUCGUGGUCGUCUCGGUUCGCGGUUGUUUAUCAGCACCUUCACUAUUGUGACACGUCUGCUGUAAACAGAUAGGACGUGUCACAAGAUAGCACACAAGCGACGCAAGUAUUGGUUGCGUUUGUUUACAUCCGUGAGCAGCUAGAAAAAAAAAGAUCGAAGCCGCCGAGGAGGAAAACAAGGAAACAACACAAGAAGACAAUUGAGUGGUUUUCCGGAUCGUUUGUUUUCAGAAGAAUCUGCUUCUAGAGUGCUACGUGAAACUCCAGCAGUUUUGUUUACUUCCCGGAACUGACCGUUCGAAUCAACCAAAACAAAUCAACCGGAAAACCAAUUUUAAUGCAAGCAAACUUGUUGUUUCAGAUUUCGACGAAAAGUACCUUUCCAGAUUUUUGAUUCCAAUUCCGGCUGCCACCAACAAGGAUGAGUUUUUAGCGACAGAUUCUCUCGGUGAAUCCCGAAUUGUGUGGACCUGAUCUUGUGCAUUCUAGUCGACACUGUCGAGGACGGUCGUGGGCAAAGUUUGACGCGGUCAAUUAGACAGGACUGAAAUCCGGAUAUCAAUCUAGGUUUCUAUGUAGGAGAAGAAACCUAAUUGUUCUUACAAAGGUUUGUACCUGAAGCCUGCUUUGAUCUGAACCUGAAUUUCGUUAAGUGCAAGACCAUCAGGGACGACACGCUCUCAUCAACCAGCGGUCCCACUUUUAUCUAAACUCGAAGCUUCCGAACUACUAAUAACCGGCAUGGUACAGCUGCGCCGUUUCCUAUCGCAAGCGAUUUCAAGUCAAGGAUGGAGCUGGCAUCGAAAAUGCAACCGUUGCGCUGGAUGGGGCGUACGACAUUGAUCAACCUCCUGCUGUAGGAAAUUUCCUUGAGAUUUGUCGAGCUUAGAUUUUUUUGUUUUUGGACAAGACAAACCUCUAGACACUGACUAAUUCGAUCAUUGUACUACUAAAAUGACAAAAUAUAUUAAAAUAUUUGGACAAAG